rnacentral:rRNA from 1 species
GACGAACGCUGGCGGCGUGCCUAAUACAUGCAAGUAGGACGCACAGUCUAUACCGUAGCUUGCUACACCAUAGGCUGUGAGUUGCGAACGGGUGAGUAACGCGUAGGUAACCUGCCUAUUAGAGGGGGAUAACUAUUGGAAACGAUAGCUAAUACCGCAUAACAGUAUGUAACACAUGUUAGAUGCUUGAAAGAUGCAAUUGCAUCGCUAGUAGAUGGACCUGCGUUGUAUUAGCUAGUAGGUAGGGUAAUGGCCUACCUAGGCAACGAUACAUAGCCGACCUGAGAGGGUGAUCGGCCACACUGGGACUGAGACACGGCCCAGACUCCUACGGGAGGCAGCAGUAGGGAAUCUUCGGCAAUGGGGGGAACCCUGACCGAGCAACGCCGCGUGAGUGAAGAAAGUUUUCGAAUCGUAAAGCUCUGUUGUUAAGGAAGAACGAGUGUGAGAAUGGAAAGUUCAU